UUUCUGUAAAGAAAUCAUCUUGUCACCUGAUCCUGCGUGCAUAUAUAAGGAUUCGUUUACCGUUACACGUUCGUAAAGUGUCAUUACUGCGUCGAAAUAUUGCGUGGAAAUUAGGAAACGAUUUCGAAAUGUUAACGCUAAAAUUGAAUCAUCCGAUUGUCUGAGAAGAAAGGAAGGGCAAAUGUUAAUGAGAAUGGGAAAGUACAGACAUUUGCGUUGUAUUUGGAAAGUCUCAAAGAGGUAGGCGACGGAAAACAAAAAGGGUCGCAAUUCCAAUGACAAAUGGAAGGCGUUGUUACACCAUGCGUUUCCUCCGUUGGUGAGGAAUUUUAACGGAAUUUAGUACGCACGCUGUUAUAGACAGUGUCGCGAUAUAUAAUGAGUUUAGCGAGUUUCCAAGUAUCUACAAAAUGGCAAGCAGAAGACAUAGAAGUACGAAUGAACUCCAGAUGUUUAUGCAUUUAAGGGGAAUUUAAAGAUGUAAAAAUGUAAGGAACCCAUAUAAUAUGCGAGUAUGGACAUAUAAAGUAUUCAAAGUAAAGUACUUGUUAUAAUAUCUAUGGGGUGAAACAGAUGUCUAUCUGGGUUUCACAAAAAUGUGAAAUUAAUUCAUGAAAUUUAUUUUAAGUUAUACAAUUGUCAAAAUAGUAAUCAACUAGAGAAUUCAUAAAAAAAGAGAGAUAAAAUGAGAAAUCGUGAAAUAAAAUAUUUUUUUAGUAGCUUAACAAAUUUCAUCGAAUAAUACGUUUGGAAUAAUUGGUUAUAUCAAUUUUUAGUAUUUUUAGUAUUGUUGUUUCAGGUUGUAUACUCGAAUGUUGAGAUCUUUUCUCACCUCUUUAUAUAUAUAUAUAUCUGUUAUAGCGUGUAGUAGUUGGCGUUAUUCAUGCUAGUUUGUUUAUUAUUGUGCAACUAUUCAUUUAUGGAAAUGGAUAAGGAAAAUUAAUAAUAGUGUGCGAAAUAUUUAUUGUACGCGGUCGGUUUAAUGCUCGUGACGUUCCAUUUCGAUAUUUCCAGACUACGAUAACUAUGUCGACUUCCUGAGGCUAAAUACUUCGUAAUGACUCAAUUUCGUGAAAUUCGCGCAGAGAAACGAUUGCUAAAUGAUUAAGAAAAUGCUUCGUUGCAUUAAACAGGAAGAUUAUCAUUCGGUUAAACAUCUAUUGUUUAUAUUUAUAAAUAUUAUAUCGCCAGAUUACAUCUAAAAACUCAUCGAUUUUUAAAUCUGCAAAAAUUAAUUCGAAAUAUAAGCUAUUUAAUAAGAUAGAAGUGUGGCAGUUAUCCAAUAAAAUUUGUAACAUUUAACGAUAAGAUCAGACCUUAAAAUAGGUUACUUUCCAAUUCUUUCUUAUAUAUUAAGCAAUACACACAAACAAUAUUUUAUUGGAGACCCGGGAAAUCUAAAAAUUAUCAGGUAAAUUAUAAAAGAGAGCAUUUUCUUAACAAUGCUCUAUACAAAUAGAAUGUAUCGAAAAUAAAUUUUUAAUGUCAACUAUUAAAUAUUUGAAAGAAGAGAGGUUUAAUAUUCCCGACAUUUUUAUUGAGGUCAUAGUUUCAACACGUUGCGGAGUAUAAUAAGGAGGUAACAAUAUCAUCUACAAUCAUCGACACCAAUCACAAGCAAGUCAUUUACGGGUAGAUUUACAUUUGCUUAGGAAAUUGCUAAAUGGGCGCCGUCACUGGCGUCAAAGGUGCUCGAGUGAUUCUGUGUCUGUUACGCCCAUUUCAUUUCUUUUGUAUUAUACCAUCAAUAAAAUGCUAAAAUAGAUGGACAACUAACCUGAUUUGAAAAGAAUUUAAUAACGCGCGUCAGACCAUAUUCUAAAUGCACGGCUAUAGACGAUGAACAGACAACUAUUCCAGACGAAUAAUCGUCGUCUAUGGAAAAAGGUAGUUUCUAUUAACGCAUACACGUUAUAUACGUGGGAAACAAUGAAAUAUACGUAUGUAGACAAAAAAUUAUAUCUAUCAACGAGCUUGACAAUCCUAACGACUAAGUAGGUGAUACACUGUAGCUACUUAAACGUCUGCAGAGCAGCGUUUCAACGACAUAUAUAUUCGCCUAAAUGUAUUAUCAGAUGACUCGUAUUGUUGAUUAUCCUGAUCGAUUAUCGGCAUCUGAUAGGAAAAUCGUCAAAUCGAUCGUAUCGAUUCCUGGUUGUUUGGUUGAUUUUAUACUAUAUAAUCUAUAGCUGAAAUACGAUACGAGAUAAACGUUUCCUAAUUUCCCAGUUCGACGUUAAUAGACGUUACGAUCAUUUUCUACGGCAGUAUAUGACCUU